rnacentral:rRNA from 1 species
GACGAACGCUGGCGGCGUGCCUAAUACAUGCAAGUAGAACGCAGUUUCGAACGGGGGAGUAACGCGUAGGUAACUGCCUGGUAGCGGGGGGUAACUAUUGGAAACGAUAGCUAAUACCGCAUACUACCAGAUGGACCUGCGUUGUAUUAGCUAGUUGGUGGGGUAACGGCCUACCCAGGCAACGAUUCAUAGACGACCUGGGGGGGUGAUCGGCCAACCCGGGACCGGGAAACGGCCCAGAACCCUACGGGAGGGAGCAGUAGGGGAAUCUCGGCAAAGGGGGGAACCCUGGCCGAGCAACGCCGCGGGGGUGGAGAAGGGUUUUGGAUCGUAAAGCUCUGUUGUUAAGGAAGCGGUACUUAACCAGAAAGCGACGGCUAACUACGUGCCAGCAGCCGCGGUAAUUC